AACGAACGUUAGCGGCGCGCCUAAGACAUGCAAGUCGAGCGAGAAAGGGAUUCGUCCCCGGUAAAGCGGCGCACGGGUGAGUAACACGUAGGUAAUCAACCCUCGAGUGGUGGACAACUCUCCGAAAGGAGAGCUAAUACAGCAUGACGUGGCGGUCUUCCGAGAUCGUUUCCAAAGCGGGCCUCUUCAUGAAAGCUCGCGCUCGAGGAUGAGCCGGCGGCCCAUCAGCUAGUUGGAGGGGUAACGGCCCACCAAGGCAUAGACGGGUAGCUGGUCUGAGAGGAUGAACGGCCACACUUGAACUGCGACACGGUCCAGACUCCUCCGGGAGGCAGCAGUCGGGAAUCUUCCGCAAUGGGCGAAAGCCUGACGGAGCGACGCCGCGUGAGUGAUGAAGGCCUUCGGGUUGUAAAGCUCUGUGGGGAGGGAAGAAUAAGUUCAAGCGAAUACCUUGAAUGAUGACGGUACCUCCUUAGCAAGCACCGGCUAACUCUGUGCCAGCAGCCGCCGUAA
rnacentral:rRNA from 1 species